rnacentral:rRNA from 1 species
AUUGAACGCUGGCGGCAGGCCUAACACAUGCAAGUCGAGCGAGCGGCGGCCGGGUGAGUAAUGUCUGGGAAACUGCCUGAUGGAGGGGGAUAACUACUGGAAACGGUAGCUAAUACCGCAUACCAUCAGAUGUGCCCAGAUGGGAGUAGCUAGUAGGUGGGGUAAUUGCUCACCUAGGCGACGAUCCCUAGCUGGGCUGAGAGUCUGACCAGCGACGCUGUGACUGUGAAAGGGUCCAGACUCCUACGGGAGGCAGCAGUGGGGAAUAUUGCACCAUGGGCACAAUCCUGAUGCAGCCAUGCCGAGUGUGUGAAGAAGGCCUUCGGGUUGUAAAGCACUUUCAGCGGGGGGGCGUUACCCGCAGAAGAAGCACCGGCUAACUCCGGGCCAGCCGGCGCGGUAAUUC